ncrna:unclassified sequences LOOT RNA
AGCCUAACCUUCUAUAGGUUUUCCUAUGAAGUAUGGCUAAAAACCCAUCCCUGACAUUAAACUCCUCGUCAGAGCACUCAGGGAUGGGUCUAUAGCCGAAAGGUUAUAGGAUAGUCGAAAGGCUAUC